UCAUAACAGGAAAUGCUGCUAAAAUUAUAGCUCCCUCCCUGAACCUGGCCUUCCUGCUAUCUGUUCUUUUUGAUGGGACAUAAUUGAGCCAGCUCUGGUUACAGAGACAGAGGCUUGGGAAAGUCAAUGGUCAGAAUGAAGGUGACCCUGCAGAAGAAUCCAUCAAAGAAUAGGGUUUCUUUGUGCAUGCAUGCUUUGCGUGGUGGGGGCUGGGUUCAGUUCCCAGGUUUGUGACUGAAUAUCAUUUUCGGCUUCAAUGCCUAGUGCUGACAUGAGUUUCUCCGGAUGGCUUUUCUAUAAAAAGGUGAGUGCCUUAUCAUUCAUCUUGUCCUUCUCAUUGAACUUUUUAAACUUUCUCUUCAAAAAAAUUCUGAACCCCAGACGGGCCCUUUUGGGUCUUGGGCAACCUCUGGUUGCAGAGCAGGGCCACGAGCAUGCAGUGGGAGGGGAUCCAGCAGCCAGGCUGCUCCCCACACUGCAGGGCUUCUGUGAACUGCAAAGGCCUUGAAAAUGACUUCGUGCCUGAUUUUUAUUUUCAAUGGAUUUCUAGAAAGCCAAGUUUAAAUAAAGUUUUAAAAAUAAAUGAAUAUCUAAUUCAUUACAGAAGCACUCUAUCUGAAAAUUUCCUAUUAUAUAUUUAAUAUAUGUAAAAAUAUAUUUUUAUAUAAAAGUUUAUAUACAUACAUUUAUUUUUUUUUUAUUUUUAUUUUGUUCGAGACAGAGUCUUGUUCUGUCGCCCAGGCUGGAGUGCAGUGGCACAAUCUCAGCUCACUGCAGCCUCUGCCUCCCAGGUUCAAGCAAUUCUCCUGCCUCAGCCUCCCAAGUAGCUGGGAUUACAGGCAUUGGGCCACCACGCCUGGCUAAUUUUAGUAUUUUUAGUAGAGACGGGGUUUCGUCAUGUUGGCCAGGCUGGUCUCGAACUCCUGACCUCCUGAUCGACCUGUCUUGGCCUCCCACAGUGCUGGGAUUACAGGCAUGAGCCAUGGCACCUGACCAUAAAUUUAUGUACCUGUAAUAUAUAUGAUAAAUGUGUUUAUUUUAAUCAAAAUGAUUAAUUAGAGGAGGACACAGUAGUAAAACUGUUUCAUAGAUUGAGAAAUCCCCCAGUAGCCUGGCUUGUUGGCAGUCUCCUUCUAGAGCUGUAGAUGAAAGCUGCAUGCCAGGGACACCAGAGCAUGUGGGGAACCCGCACAUUCAGCUUGCUUCCUUGUCUGUGCCCAGGACACGUGCCUCCUACUCCAUCCCUUUGGGCAGUUAGAUGUCACUCCUCCUUCAAGUCCUAGCUGAACCUUGUCCCUGCUCUUCUAAGGCAGAGUUAAGUCCAUUUUUCCCAGAGCAGCUUCACCAUUGUUUUUUCAGAACUCUUCUCCAGAUUAGACUCUUUGAAGGAAAGGACCAUGAAUUUUCAUCUGGGCUUCCAGCUCCAAGUACAGGCCUGGGCCCCUAACUUAUUCAAUAAAUACUUAUAGACAAAAAUUGAUUUGAUAUGCCAAGCCAUGUUCUCAUUUGCUUAUUCAGUAAAUAUUUGUUGAAUGUCAUUCCCGUGCCUGGAACUAUCCUAGGGCUCAAAGGCUGAAGAUGAAAAUGCACCUGCUUUCACGGAGUUUGUGUUCCAGUCAAAGGAAAAAUGGCAAUAUGUACCUAUAUGAAUAAAGAAAUAAUUUAUUAUCACACUGAAUGCUAUAGAGAAAAUAUAAUACAUAAUAGGUUUGAAAGUAAAUUGAUAGGUAGAUGGUGGCUAAUGUCAAGGUUGACCUCUUUGAGAAGGUAAUGAUUGAAAUGAAAUCUACAAAAACAAGGAAGACUUAGUCCUGUGGGAAUUUAGGAAAAGUGUAUUCUGAAUGUAGUUUAUCCAAAGUGAAACCAACAAACAAAAAACAGAGGUGGGAGGAAGACUAUAUUUUUGAAACUGAAAUGAAGAAGUCCAAUAUAGCUAAACUAUGGCAAAUAAGAGUGAGAGAUGUUGGCAGUGGCAAAUUCAUGAAAGGUUAGAAAGUUGUGAGGAAGAUAUAAUUAUAAUCCUAAACCACUGGAAGGCUUACAGCAGGAGAACGUUGUGACAUUUUUGACUUUUAAAUGACUGCUGUCAUUUAAAACUAUAGAGCGUGGGUCCAAGAGUCAUCUGAUAGAGUGUGGGUCCAAGAGUCAUCUGAUAAACAAAAACAUGGAACUAAUGACCCCGGAGCAGAUAUCUGAGGGCAGGGCCAAUAGAAGUGGUCAAAGCUGGACCUAUAAAUUCGGGAGACCUCAGAAUAUGCAUUGUGCACAGGAUGAUGGGGAAUAGAUGAGAUUACCUAAGGAACAAAGGGAGAUAAAUACAGGACACUUACAUAUGUGGAGUUCUGGUAGACAUGAGGAAUUAGCGAAGGAGGCCGAGAAGAACAGGACCAAAGCAGGAAGGUUUUGUGACACCCAGAGACUGCAGUGUCUGAGAGAGAGUCACUGGCUAAUGCUGCUAAUGCUACUGAAUAGUUGGGUAAGAUAAGGAACAGAUAAUUAACUAGUAAAUUUGAGAAUAUGAAAGUCAUUGGUAAGCGAUAAAAAAAUCAUUAUAUUGGUGGCAACAAAGAUAGAAAUGAAGUAGGUUAAGAAAAAUAUACAAUGUAAAAAAAUGGAAAUAGCAGGGAUCAUGUUGUAAAAAGGAGAAAGGAAAUGGAGGCACUGUUUGAGAGAGAUGUGGGGUCCAAUGAGGUUUGAUGUUUUGUAAGGAUAAUAUUAACACAUGUAUAAGGCCAGGAAAGCUAGUGGACAAAGUCUAACAAAGAGUGAGACACUGAGAUGAAGCGGAGGUGAAAGAUAUUGCUAGAAGAAAUUCCUGAGUACCUGUGAGAGGAUGAGAUACAUCACACAAGGAAAAACAGGCUUUAGGUAAAGCCAGAAUAUUUCUGUCUUUGAAUAGAAACUCAUAGUAAGUGCGCAUAUAUCUCAAGACAUUAGUUCAUCCUUUUUCAGCUAUGAGGUGAGGUCAUUAGCCGAGAGUUGAGGCCAGGAGAGUGCCAGAAGUUGAAAGAGAGAGAUGACAUGAAAUAGCCUACUCUGAGAAUGGGAUAUUGGGUUCAUCUAAGUGUCUGUCAAUGCUUUUGGACAUACACUGGAAGAGAUAUUUAGACAUCUCAGCUGUAUAAGUGUAUCCAGCAACAUGUAGUUACAAAGAAGCUGCGUGGGGUUGGCUGAGAGUUGGCAGGCUAAGCAUUUUCUCAUUGAGAAGGAGAGUGGAGAGAGGGACACAGGGGCGAGGGUGUUUUAUGAGAGUCAUAGAUAACAUAACGGUGGGGUCUAAAUCAGAGCGUGUGAGAACAGGAGCAAGGAGAAUUGAGAGCAUAAAAAUAAAAGGUUGAAGCCAGGCAUGCUAGUGGCCCAGUAGUCCAGCUACUCCAGAGGCGAGAGGAUCACUCAAGUCCAGGUGUUUGAGGUCAGCCGGAACAACAUAGUAAGGCCCUGUCUUAAAAAAAAAAAAAAAAAAAAAAAAAAGAUAAAGAAAGAAAUGAAAAUGGACAGCCAUCAUCUUGGAAAUCUUUUGACAAAGUUCAGGCAUACCCAUGACAGUGGGUGGCUGAGUUGGGUGUGGAAGAAAGAUCACAGAGGAGGAGGUUGUGAAAGAGUGAGAAUCAAAUAGAUAAUUUAUUUCAUACUCAAGUCACCUGGAAAGAUGCUUGUAGACAUGGUGGAGAGGGAAGCAGAAGCCCUGGACAGGGGAUGACCAGGAAUGCGGGGGAGUUUGGUAGAUGAGAGCAACAAGAAGGGGUGAAGAUUAAUGACUUGUGUCAAAAAAGACUUCUUUUUAACAACAGGAAAACAGAGACAUUUUUUAUAAUUUUUUAUAUUAUAGCAUAAGGUUUUCUAGUGCAGGAUCCGACAGCCUUUGCUUGUCUGUAAAGAGAGCAUUGUCCCUCCCCAGCUCCUCUUGUGUCUUAAAGAGUGGUUGAUAGGCCGGGGGCAGUGGCUCACACCUGUAAUCACAGCACUUUGGGAGUCCGAGGCGGGCGGAUCACAACGUCAGGAGAUCAAGACCAUCUUGGCUAGCAUGGUGAAACCCCGUCUCUACUAAAA
rnacentral:lncRNA from 10 species